rnacentral:misc_RNA from 1 species
CAUUAUUGAAAUAAACCUGAUGGGUUGUUGCUGGUUCUCUAGGGAGCAUGUGCACGCCUUGUCAUUUUUAUAUCUCCACCUGUGCACCUUUUGUAGACCUUUUCAGGUCUAUGUCGUUUCAUUUACCCCAAUGUAUGUCGAUAGAAUGUUGUGCCUAUAAAACAUAUACAACUUUCAGCAACGGAUCUCUUGGCUCUCGCAUCGAUGAAGAACGCAGCGAAAUGCGAUAAGUAAUGUGAAUUGCAGAAUUCAGUGAAUCAUCGAAUCUUUGAACGCACCUUGCGCUCCUUGGUAUUCCGAGGAGCAUGCCUGUUUGAGUGUCAUUAAUAUAUAUCAACCUUUCUCUUGUUGUGGAGGGGCUUGGAUGUGGGGGCUUGCUGGCCUCUUAAUAGGGUUCAGCUCUCCUGAAAUGCAUUAGCAGAACAACCUUGUUCAUUGGCGUGAUAACUAUCUACGCUAUUGAAUGUGAGGGCAGUUCAGCUUUCUAACAGUCUUUGGACAAUUUAUCAUUAAUGUGACCUCAAAUCAGGUAGGACUACCCGCUGAACUUAAGCAUAU